GAUGAACGCUGGCGGUAUGCUUAACACAUGCAAGUCGAACGGACUCUUCGGAGUUAGUGGCGGACGGGUGGGUAACGCGUGGGAAUCUGGCUUUGGGUUCGGGACAACCACUGGAAAGGGUGGCUAAUACCGGAGGUGCCGAGAGGUAAAAGAGAAAUUGCCUGAAGAUGAGCGCGCGUCUGAUUAGCUAGUUGGUGAGGUAAAGGCUCACCAAGGCAGCGGUCAGUAGCUGGGCUGAGGGGAUGACCAGCCACAGGGGGACUGAGACACCGCACAGACCUCUACGGGGGGGAGGAGGGGGGAAUUGUCCGCAAUGGGCGAAAGUCUGACGGAGCAAUACCGCGUGGGAGAAGAAGGCUCUUGGGUUGUAAACCUCUUUCCUUAGGGAAGAACAAAAUGACGGUACCUAAUGAAUCAGCACCGGCUAACUCCGUG
rnacentral:rRNA from 1 species